GGGGGGGGGGGGGGGGGGGCGGGGCGCGUGCGGGGGGGGCGGGGGGGCGCGGCGUGGGGGGGGUGCGCGGGGGGCGGACGGGGGGGUGGCCCGUGAGUCGCCUGCCCUGUACUUUGGGCUAACUUCAGGCAACUGGUGCUACUACCGGCUAGGAGCGCCUGCUGCAUGGUGUGGGUUGGAAAGUUUCGGCGGUUGGGGAUGGACUCGCGGCUUAUCAGCUUGUUGGUGGGGUAGUGGCUUACCCAGGCUUUGACGGGUAGCCGGCCUGAGAGGGUGACCGGCCACAUUGGGACUGAGAUACGGCCCAGACUCCUACGGGAGGCAGCAGUGGGGAAUAUUGCACAAUGGGCGGAAGCCUGAUGCAGCAACGCCGCGUGCGGGAUGACGGCCUUCGGGUUGUAAACCGCUUUCGCCUGUGACGAAGCGUGAGUGACGGUAAUGGGUAAAGAAGCACCGGCUAACUACGUG
rnacentral:rRNA from 1 species